UGGGGAAUAUUGCACAAUGGGCGAAAGCCUGAUGCAGCAACGCCGCGUGAGUGAUGAAGGCCUUCGGGUUGUAAAGCUCUGUCUUUUGGGACGAUAAUGACGGUACCAAAGGAGGAAGCCACGGCUAACUACGUGCCAGCAGCCGCGGUAAUACGUAGGUGGCAAGCGUUGUCCGGAUUUACUGGGCGUAAAGGAUGCGUAGGCGGAUUUUUAAGUGAGAUGUGAAAUACCCGGGCUUAACUUGGGUGCUGCAUUUCAAACUGGGAAUCUAGAGUGCGGGAGAGGAGAAUGGAAUUCCUAGUGUAGCGGUGAAAUGCGUAGAGAUUAGGAAGAACACCAGUGGCGAAGGCGAUUCUCUGGACCGUAACUGACGCUGAGACAUGAAAGCGUGGGUAGCAAACAGGAUUAGAUACCCUGGUAGUCCACGCCGUAAACGAUGAGUACUAGGUGUAGGAGGUAUCGACCCCUUCUGUGCCGCAGUUAACACAAUCAAGUACUCCGCCUGGGAAGUACGAUCGCAAGAUUAAAACUCAAAUGAAUUGACGGGGUC
rnacentral:rRNA from 1 species